rnacentral:snRNA from 1 species
CCUUCUUCUCGGCCUUUUGGCUAAGAUCAAUUGUAGUAUCUGUUCUUAUCAGUUUAAUAUCUACCCCUUCAUGGAUCACUGCCUUGCCGUGGCGAAGGGGCUUGAAUAACUCAGAGAAGCUAU